UUCAUCCAUGAACAGACUGCAUACGCGUUUAUACAUGUAUAUAAAUAAUUUCUUUUGUCAUAUAUAUAAUACCAACGUAGACUUUUUUCUAAAUUUUGUGUUUCACAAAUACGUAUCAAGUAUAAAUGUACAUAUCUGCAUAUAUCCGGGCAAAUUAAGGAAGAAAAUUAUACUAAUAAUGUAAUUAAGCUUUUCAGACAUUUGAAUUUUAAAUUAUAACGAACUAAAUAAAUGAUUUCACCAAAAUAUAAAAAAAAUAUACCAAGGAAGAUGUAACGUCUCAGUGAUGGCAGAUUAUUGCGUCAGAGAGGCCUUCCAGAUGCUUCCUACAAGCGGCCGUGUAGUCACUGGAAAUAAGAAAUUUGUUUAGCACUUACUAAAAGAUGUAUUUUAGAUUUAAAAAAAAUUGUUUUGUUUGGCAAUUAUAAACCAAUCUUUAAUCUUGUAUUUUGUCACUUGUUUAAUAUAGUUGCUUACCUAUUCAUAAAGCGUGACAUUCAAUGACAAAGUGAAA